UUCUCACGUGUAUUGUGAACUUACAUCAUUUAAAUGAUAACUAAAGUAUCAUAUCAACUUAUCUAAAGGUAAAAGAAAUCCUCAAAGAGAAUCGUCGAGUUAUUUUAUUGUGCUUUCUUUAUUUAUCUACUCAACAGAAAAUAGUGAUACAUGUAUGAUUGUAUAAGAUUUUUUUGCACUGAAACAUUGUUUGUAAGAAUACAUAACCCACAAGUUUGCUUUGACAAUAUAAGGUUAAAAUUUAUUUGUAUCAAAUUUUUUUAUUGUAUGUUGAGUUUUCCGAAAUUCAUAGUUUUUAUUGUUUUUGCCCUGUCUGUUGGUCUGUUUGCGCCAACUUUAACAUUUUGCAAUAACUUUUGCUAUAUUGAAGAUAGCAACUUCAUAUUUGCAUGCAUGUGUAUCUCAUGAAGCUGCACAUUUUGAGUGGUGAAAGGUCAAGGUCAUGGUCAUCCUUAAAGGUCAGAGGUCAAAUAUAUGUGGCCAAAAUCGCUCAUUUUAUGAAUACUUUUGCAAUAUUGAAGAUAGCAACUUGAUAUUUGGCAUGCAUGUGUAUCUCAUGGAGCUGCACAUUUUGAGUGGUGAAAGGUCAAGGUCAUCCUUCAAGGUCAGAGGUCAAAUAUAUGUGGCCCAAAUCGCUUAUUUUAUGAAUACUUUUGCAAUAUUGAAGAUAGCAACUUGAUAUUUGGCAUGCAUGUGUAUCUCAUGGAGCUGCACAUUUUGAGUGGUGAAAGGUCAAGGUCAUCCUUCACAAGGUCAAGGUCAUCCUUCAAGGUCAAACAUCAUAUAGGGGGACAUUGUGUUUCACAAACACAUCUUGUUUUCUUGUUAUUAUUUUUAUCAUUACAUACGUCCAAAGAAUGUGCCGUUCGUACAUUUCUUACAUCAAACUAUACAAUUUUGCAAAAUUCUUAAAUGAAUAUUCUUAGGUGACGUACUUUUUGUUAAUUGAUCUCAAACACAUUCGUGACUUAUUUUGGCAAGGUGACCUUAUGUACAUUAUGUUAUAAAAAAUAUAUUUCAAUCUAGUUAUUACUAUUUUGAACGUAGGUUAUAUCUUGUGAUUUUAGUUAAUGGUUUCAAUACGCGUGUUUUUUCUUGUUUAUGUUAGUACUCAUUUAUCUGACGCACUGAAUCAUUGAUUGAAAUAACCGUAGCCUAUAUUGUUUACUCUCUUUAUAUUAUAUGAAGCUUUUCGGAUGUUGCUGUCUUUAGUAUAGCCCUUUGUGACAAUGCAGUAUUAACUUUAUUUUGUUUCCGUUUUUUGUGGGUUCGGGUACCUAUUUAUAUACGCGUUUGUUCAAUAUUCUUCGGCAUUAUGUUAGUUACUUUUCUUCUCGAGUUCUUGUUUUGUUAUGGUAUGUGUUAAGGUGUUUUCGCCUUAGCACUUGUCUUUAAUAUCAUUGAUAACCUCUGAUUACAUUGUUUGUUCAUUUCUGUUUGUGUAACAUCGGGGUUCCUGAGUGGUAUAUUUUGAAGUGUCUUUUACUGACUAACUUUUUCCAUAAACUGUUAAUAAUUAAAACAAGAGUUUUUUUUAAAACAAACUCCCUUAUACCCGUACAUGAACCGUAAGUUCUCAGUAUUGCAAUUGUUUAAUCAUUAAGCGCAUACGAUUUUAAUGUCAAAGUUUUGUUUUCUUAGCGUAAUCGAGCAGGUAAAUAUAAUCGAGGAAUUUUAAAUCAAAUUAAUUAAUCUUGUAAUGGUAUCACAACUCAAAUAAUGUUUCUUCCAUGAAAUUCAUAACGAACCUUUUACGCUGAUUCCGACACAUUUACUCGCAUUUAUUACAGAAACAAACUGUGUGUUUUUCACUCUGAUCGCUACGGUCACUUCCGGGAGGCGGAAAGAUUAUCUCAGCUUUGCAAAAAUAGGUAUGUUUGAAUUUUUUAAGAUCGUAUAAACAUUCUUGAGAGAGACAAGUGUAGAUAAAAGAAGGCAUUGUGAGUUCACGCGUUAAUUAGUCUUGUGAUUUUUGCAUGGUUAUCUAAUAGCAUCAUCUUCAAAAGGCUUGCGAUUUGUUAAUUUCCUAUUUAUUUCCUGUGAUCAGUUUCACGUCAUUUAAAUACGAUAUUAUCUUAAAUGUCCAAUAUUUAUUUUUGUAUUUUUGCUCGUUACCAUAACGAAUAUAUGAGAUCGUGGUUUUCCAUGUUUGCUGAUAGUUUACGUUUAUUUCAACUCUCGAUAUUUUGCCAUGCAUUUAUUAUUUGGGAAUACUGUUGCUUUUGCUUUUGCUUGAAAUAAACAUUUGUUUGAAAUAAA